CGGCGGCAGUUGUGCUGGCGCCGCCUCAGCCUGUGCCCCGCUCGGUCGGAAAGCUACCGUCUGUGUCUCACGGAGUGAGAGACCGAGGGUGAACCCGGAGAGCCGGGCGGGGGCGCCGGCGGCGGCGGCGGCGGCGGCGGCGGCGGCGGCAGAGCGGGGCGCGGGCGGGGGACCUGCGCGCUCUCCUCUCGCCAGAGGGCGCUGCCGAGGUGCCUUGUUGCCCCCGACCCUCUACUGCCCCGUCCGCAGAGGCCCACGGUCUAGGUUGUGGUGAUUGUUUUGGUUUGGGUGUUUUUUAGGGGGAUAAGGGGGCUGGGAAUAGAUCCUCCCUGUGGAGUUGGCGGGGAUUCCUCGUUUCUGCCCAAGCGCCGCGGAAUCCAGCACCACCGGCCUGGGACAGCGGCAGGACGCCGAGACAGGUGCCGGCCCCGGAUUAGAAACCCAAACGGAGAAUCCUAGAUGUUGCUCCUACUACAUUCGCCAUAAUUGGCCUGGUGGAAAUGGGAGAAAAAACUACUUCUCACAAAGAAUCAAUUCUGGGAACUGGAAAAAGCAUAUCAGACCAACUCAAAACGUCUCCAUUUGAGGCAAUGUAGUGCUGUGAAAGGAACGUAGGCAGAUUUGAGUUUCAGUGGCACAUCUGAAACUUAUCCGCAGAGACUCUAAGCAAUUAAAUUCUGAGACAUUCUUCUCUGUGCAGCGAGACUACUCAUGUCUUUCUCCCAGGGGAGUUGUAAGACUUAAAUGAGGUAAACCACGCAGCAGGGGAGCCUAACAGCUCCUUUAAUAGUCCCCCAACUCCAAAAGGGAAAGUCCUGUGUAUCUGCCACAGAAAUCUUGGACCAUAUUUCUACCAAUGGAAACUGACUCUCUGUCCCGGGCAUUCUUAUACCAAUUGAUCCGGAUCCCAAUUAAUAAUCGAUUCUUGAAAGAGAGAUAUUUUUCAAAUUUUCCUUUAUUUAGACUGUUUAGAUAGGGAUCUUGCCUUGAAAAAUGAUAUGCAUUUUAAAAAACUCUUCGCUUCAGUGCAGGGAAUUGAGUAAGUUUAACAGAUUUGCACAGGACACUCUGAAGAAUUAUUACAAACAGGACCAAGGCUUGUAGCCUCUUGGGCAUUAAAAUUCCAAUAGUGGCAAUAAAUUUACCCUUAGUGGACCCACCGAAUGUAGCAGACAUGAAUAAAAUGCACUUCAGCUGAACCUGGCAGCAAAUCGUG
rnacentral:lncRNA from 1 species